UGGAAGAAGCCAUCGCGGUUCCGUCAGGUGCGGAUUUGGUUACAGAAAUUCCUCCGGCGCACACAAUAAUUCUAUCGUUUUCGGCCGCGGGCGGAGAAGUCAUUUAUCUCCUCAUCUGCAGUCGGAUUAUAUCUCACAGGCCGGAAACCUGGAGGCCGACAAAUAGCGAUUCCAAGUAAAAUGGCGUCCUACCUCUCCGAUACUCCAACGAGCAUGCGCGGAGAAAGACGCUAGUGGUCUCCAUGGAUACAUCGCACGUGAUUGCUCAUGUGGUUCUGUUGCCAUACGUCACUUUCAGUUACCUCAUGGGAUCCUCUCGUGUGCCGUGGGAAGGCGCGUAAUCCCCCGCUGCACAAACAGGAAGCCGUCUGCCGGGUGAGUGCCGGAUACUCCGCCCACUUUUGUAAAGAGACUGUUUAGUGCACAAAACACUAUAAAAUAAUGUUUCAAUUGGAUCAUUUGUAUUUGCUAUUGUCCACAUUCUCACAUAUCAUGUUGUGCACUAUGUAUUCACUUCCGAUCACUGAGGAACACCACGUUUUGAUUUGUUACAUGUCAAUUAUGCUUAA